CGACAGGGAGGAGUUUAUGUGGGAAGGAUGUGGAGUUCUUAUCCAGUUCCUCUCCCUUACCCGAGAGAGGGGGACAGCCUGAGAGCACAUGAGGAUAAAACCGAAUCUAUGUGGGAGCAGCAGCGAAACCUGAAAGCUUAUCCCAACCCCACACCGUCCAUUAUAUGCCUCCUCAUGCCCCACCGCAGAAGCCCUGUGUCUGCCUUUCUUUCCCAUCUCUUCCGUUCAAGCUGAGUCGAGGCUUCGGUGGUUGCAUGGAGGCGUCUCUCUUGUCUGACAAUAAGCGUGGGAUCAUGGAUGAGGAGGAAGAGCUCGAAUCCAUGUCUUCCUUCUACAGCGAAGAGGAUGACUCGGAUCGGGAAUCGAUGGAGGAUGCAACGUCCUCGAGUUCAUCUUUGUCCUCGUGUCCACCGUCGUCAUCGUCGUCGUCGUCGUUGGAUGAUCAGCUCGAAGAGGGGUCUCUCUUUGAGAUGUCUUCCCUCAUCUCGGUUCUUCCCAUCAAGAGAGGGUUAUCGAAGCAUUUCAAUGGGAAGUCACAGUCCUUCACUUCUCUGGAUAAGGUGCGGUGCUUAGAAGAUAUCGUGAAGCCUGAGAGGCCAUGCAAUAGAAGACUCAGCUCCUGCAAGAGCUACGGAGGAGGGUUGGAUAGCCACAAAGCAUUGUCUCCAAAGGCUUCCUCCAGGAUCAUCACAAAGAAGGCUUCUUCUUCUUCUUCUUCUUCCCUGCUAAGCGCAAGGAGGCACAGCUUGUCGAGCAACAGGCCUCCUGUUUGCCCACCACACAGACCAAGCAGCCUAUCAGGCCAAAUGAAAUUUUUGUGCACUUGACAGCCUAUCAGCUUCUUUUUCUCAGCUAUUCUCAUGUUGUUGACUGAUUGGUUGUACACAUGUUCAAUGUAAUGUUGUUUGUUGAUUUCA